CCCGACUCAACCUCAAGAUAAAAUAGAAGCACUUUCUACUCCAAUCUGGCGAAGUCCCAAGCAUUUUUAUAGUUAAAGUUCAUCUGGCCUCUUAUGUCAGUAUUCAUGUCAUAAGUGGUCCACAACUUUUUUCAUCUGGCGGAACUGGUGCCGAAAAAUGAUUCAACUAAAGACUGUUUGUCUUAUCGUCUGUGCUCUCGUCUUCAUCACCAUAACACAAGGUCAGCUUCUCGACAUCCAUAGCUUUUGCUUGGGCAGAGUGGAUGGUGUCUACCGUGACCCUUACAAAGGUUGUUCCUUCUACAUCCAGUGUAUCUCGAGGGUUGCAUACCAAGGGCAGUGUCCGUCACCUCUGGUCUUCAAUGUUGCCAUUGGCAGCUGCCAGACUUUGGUGAUGACCCCAGAGUGCGCCUGAAGCUUCGACCGCUGUCAAUAUUGAGGAACACUUUUUGAUUAAAGUUUUUUUCAUUAAAA